rnacentral:rRNA from 1 species
UACGUAGGGGGCAAGCGUUGUCCGGAAUUAUUGGGCGUAAAGAGCGUGUAGGCGGUCCGGUAAGUCAGCUGUGAAAGUCAAGGGCUCAACCCUUGAAAGCCGGUUGAUACUGUCGGGCUAGAGUCCGGAAGAGGCGAGUGGAAUUCCCGGUGUAGCGGUGAAAUGCGCAGAUAUCGGGAGGAACACUAAUGGCGAAGGCAGCUCGCUGGGACGGUACUGACGCUGAGACGCGAAAGCGUGGGGAGCAAACAGG